rnacentral:rRNA from 1 species
UACAGAGGGGGCAAGCGUUGUUCGGAAUUACUGGCGUAAAGGGCGCGUAGGCGGCCUUCUAAGUCGAACGUGAAAUCCCUGGGCUCAACCCAGGAACUGCGUCCGAUACUGGAAGGCUUGAAUCCGGGAGAGGGAUGCGGAAUUCCAGGUGUAGCGGUGAAAUGCGUAGAUAUCUGGGAGGAACACCGGUGGCGAAGGCGGCAUCCUGGACCGGUAUUGACGCUGAGGCGCGAAAGCCAGGGGAGCAAACGGG